rnacentral:rRNA from 1 species
CUACGGGAGGCAGCAGUGGGGAAUAUUGGACAAUGGGCGAAAGCCUGAUCCAGCCAUGCCGCGUGUGUGAAGAAGGUCUUCGGAUUGUAAAGCACUUUAAGUUGGGAGGAAGGGCAGUAAGCUAAUACCUUGCUGUUUUGACGUUACCGACAGAAUAAGCACCGGCUAACUCUGUGCCAGCAGCCGCGGUAAUACAGAGGUGCAAGCGUUAAUCGGAAUUACUGGGCGUAAAGCGCGCGUAGGUGGUUCGUUAAGUUGGAUGUGAAAGCCCCGGGCUCAACCUGGGAACUGCAUCCAAAACUGGCGAGCUAGAGUACGGUAGAGGGUGGUGGAAUUUCCUGUGUAGCGGUGAAAUGCGUAGAUAUAGGAAGGAACACCAGUGGCGAAGGCGACCACCUGGACUGAUACUGACACUGAGGUGCGAAAGCGUGGGGAGCAAACAGGAUUAGAUACCCGGGUAGUC